AGACGUUUGACUCCGUGGACUCAGGACGAACGCUGGCGGCGUGCUUAACACAUGCAAGUCGAACGGAAAGGCCCGCUUGCGGGUACUCGAGUGGCGAACGGGUGAGUAACACGUGGGUAAUCUGCCCUUAGCUUUGGGAUAACGCCUGGAAACGGGUGCUAAUACCGAAUAUUGACCAGGUAUCGCAUGGUGUUUGGUUGAAAGUUUUUUCGGCUAAGGAUGGGCCCGCGGCCUAUCAGCUUGUUGGUGGGGUAAUGGCCUACCAAGGCGACGACGGGUAGCCGGCCUGAGAGGGCGACCGGCCACACUGGAACUGAGACACGGUCCAGACUCCUACGGGAGGCAGCAGUGGGGAAUAUUGCGCAAUGGGCGAAAGCCUGACGCAGCGACGCCGCGUGAGGGAUGAAGGCCUUCGGGUUGUAAACCUCUUUCAGCUCCGACGAAGAGUGAUUGACGGUAGGAGCAGAAGAAGCACCGGCCAACUACGUG
rnacentral:rRNA from 1 species